AUUACAUUAGGGCAAAACCAUUGAAAGAUGGUGACGCAAAGCCAUGGGUCUAAAGCAAUGUGCUAUGAUUGCCAGGCUGCAACU
rnacentral:ncRNA from 1 species